GGCUUCAUGGUCUAGUGGUAUGAUUCUCGCUUUGGGUUCUCCACCUGAAUUGCGAGAGGCCCCGGGUUCGAAUCCCGGUGAAGCCC
rnacentral:tRNA from 1 species